AGACUCUGAUGCAUUUGAUUUGAGAAUACGUCUUCCUGCCCUGUGUUGUACACUGUACAAAGCUAUUAAGCGAAAUGGACAAGUUACAUACGUGCACUGAACUGCUGGAAUAGGAAGGGCUCCUGCUGUUGCGGUAUGUUGCAGAAACCUGUUACUGUCUCUUCUCUUUUUCUCCCUUUUUAUUUUUGUAGCACAUCUUUCAUUGUGAGUCUUUCAUGAGCGUAGAUGUAUUGGUUUCCAGUAUCAAAACAACAUUUUUUAGUUCGGUUUAUAAGACUGUUGCAAACAGUAGUUGUGUUAAUAUUUGUACUUCUUUGGUUGACUAAUGAAGGAAUGAACAAGUGUUGACUUUUGGCUGACUAACAUUGAGAAGAGUAGUUUUAGUUUCAGUUGACAUACAUGUUCUGGGUGCAAGGCUAUAAAACUUAUGGAAGUUCAUGAAUUACUUAUUCUACUUCUGAUCUAUGUUCUCUCUACAUGGUUACCUUGAUAUCUAUAUAUUAUGUGAGGAUGCUUGGGGAUUUGCUUCUUCUCCUAUGCACCGAUGAUUAUGAUAGUUAGAUUUCUAGACCACUGGAUCACGUUUUGUAGUAAUAUAUACUGAAAAUAUAGCACUCAAAUGAUUAAAGCUUGGGUUAGUUCAUCAAAUAGUCUUAGGAUUUAGCUAUUAUAAUUGUGAUAUCUUUAGAUGGCUGCUGGAAAAUAAAUCUUGAAUACCUAAUUUUUUCUGGUUAGCAAAGUGUUAUACUUUCUUAUUCUCUUGGGGCUAUCUACUCUAAUCACUUUUAAAUGAGAGCUCUGCACACUUUAGUGUAAGCAAUAAUUGAUUUAUGAAGAGCGGCGAGGGGUGCAAAUCACUGCUAUCAAUUAACGUAUUUUUUUGUUGGCAAACUAGAAAUUUUUUGAAAGUUAAGUCACCAUCCCAUUCUCACAAAUUGUCUUUUACUGCUAAAUACUUGGAACCAUCACCAUCCCUUUUCACAUAUGAGACUGUUCACGAGUACAUGCAUUGAGAAAUUUCACCAUGAAUACACUCACUCACAAACGUAGGGCUUCACAUAUUGUAAUCUUUGAUGUAACAGAGGCUUUGAUGCAUUUGAUUUGAGAAUGCGUCUUCCUGACGUGGUUAGUACACUGUCCAAAGCUGCUAAGCAAAAUGGAGAAGUUACAUUCGUGCACACUGCACUGCACUACUGGAAUGGGAAAGGGUUGUUUUUUGGUAUAUGGGCAUGAAAGCUUAUUGAUUGUAACUCUGACACUGAAAGUAAAGUGUUAACAUUGGAUGGUAACAGGUGAAUAUUAGAUAAAAUGUUUGAUGUCUUGCUACUAAACACAUAACAACUGUAAAACCAAAGGCCCUUAGCCCAUUAUUAUAAUUUCUAUUCAGCCCAUCAAAUAAAAG